rnacentral:tRNA from 1 species
GCCAAGGUAGCUCAGCCUGUCCCUCCAAGGGGCUAUGGAGAGCACUCGGCUGAAGACCGAGAACGAUUCAUCCACGAUGGAUGGUUGUCGGGCGCUGCCGCAGGUUCAAAUCCUGCCCUUGGCA